rnacentral:misc_RNA from 1 species
AGCAAAUCUCAUUGUCAUUUGAUAGUCUUAUUUUGGAUAUUGAUGUUACAAACAAAAUUCGGUAAUACAUAUCAGUGCAAACUCGAUCUUUCUAAUUGCGCUGUCUACUAAAGACACGAACAUGCAAUCCCCCAUCAAUGUGAAGAGUAAUCAUUGUCCUGUAGUUGGUAGCCUUGUUGUCAUCACUCAACUUGAAAACAAAGUGAUGUAAUAAAACAGCAGAGAAUAUCUUCAUUUGCCUAUAAGCAAACUCCUUUCCCAAGCAAAUCCUUGGCCCUGCCUGGAAAGCUGUAAAUUUGAAGGGAUUCUCUUGCCUGAAGAAACCGUCCCCAUCAAGCCAUCUCUCCGGUUUAUAUUCUUCUGCAUCAUCACCCCAUAUAAAUUUCAUUCUUCCCAUUGCAUAUGGUAGGUAACUCACCAUGUCCCCUUUCUUCACACUGAAUCCAUCUGGUAAGGUGUCAUCAGAAAAGCAUAUUUUUGGAUCCUGCAGAAAUUGGAAAACAAAAAUAACAACAUAAAAACAUACAAGAAUCUACUAGGCCACAUCUAUAUGAUAAGACAAGUUCUUUUUUACCACUGGAACUGCAGGAUAAAGCCUUAAGGUCUCUGUCAGUGCUGCAUGAAGAUAUUGCAUCUUUUCAAGGGCAUCUUCACUUACAUUGGCAGCAAAAUCUGUUAUAUCUGUUGCAUUUUCUUUCUCGGUUGUUGAUUCUUUGAUCUCUUGUGCUACUUUCUCCUGUACAUGAGGGUACUUGCAUAGCACAUAUAUGAACCAGGAAAGGGUGGUUGCUGUUGUAUCUUUGCCUGCUAUUACGAAGUUCAAUAUUAUAUCACGCAAAUACUUUGGAUUUGUACCAGAUAUUUGCAGAAACCUUGACAAAAUGUCUUCUUUCUUCCAAGAUAAAUCAGCUUCUGGCGCACUCAUCUGCUCAGUUUUUCUACGGAUCAGUUUACAAACAAAUGCGUCAACAAUUUUUAUAUUUUCUUUUAACUUUGCUUCUGAUCCAAUUUUGAGAUAUCUUUUAAUCUUCCAGAAAACAUCAACAUAUCUCCAAAGUGUCAUUGCACUUGCGUUGUCAAAUGCAGCAUUGAAGUUUUUGCCUUGUUCAUUUGAACCACACAUGCUGUCUAGCUCAACUCCGAAGGCAACCUUGAAUACGGAAUCUAGAGUUGCUUUCAUGAACAGAUCUUGAAUGUCCACUAUCUUGUUGGAUUUGACAAGUUCAGACAAUAUAUGGGCAAACUUGGCUGCAUUUUUUCUGAAAACCACACUGCUAAAAUCCCUCAAGACCCUUGUGGAGAACUCGUGACUCGACAACUUCCUCUGCUCCCUCCACUUAUCACCAUCAACUGCGAAAAUUCCAUCCCCUAACAGGUCCUUUAGGAUGCUGUAACUAUGCCAUCCCUUGCCAUAGUUGUCAAAGUUUGUUUUGAGAAUGUACUCAACGUUAGCAGGGUCAGAAGUAUAAAUCUCAUUCCUGAAAGGGCUAAUCAAUCUGUAAGUCUUGUACUUGCCAGCAAGAUCAGUCAUGAAAUGGUGCAACCUGUGGAAGUUGAUGAGCUGAUUGAAAAUGGUGCCACCGAUUGGAUGGUAUCUCCUUUUGUCAUGUAGUUUUCUUGUCAGAAGAUGAACUAUGAAUCCACAAAAGAGAAAUGAGACAACGGUGGCUGUUAUGGACAUAAUGGAACAAUCAAGAAUUUCCAUGGAAACUAUGUUGUGUCCUUUGUGCAUAUUUGGCUUACAA